AGCGAACGCUGGCGGCAGGCUUAACACAUGCAAGUCGAACGGGCGUAGCAAUACGUCAGUGGCAGACGGGUGAGUAACGCGUGGGAACGUACCUUUUGGUUCGGAACAACCCAGGGAAACUUGGGCUAAUACCGGAUAAGCCCUUACGGGGAAAGAUUUAUCGCCGAAAGAUCGGCCCGCGUCUGAUUAGCUAGUUGGUGAGGUAACGGCUCACCAAGGCGACGAUCAGUAGCUGGUCUGAGAGGAUGAUCAGCCACAUUGGGACUGAGACACGGCCCAAACUCCUACGGGAGGCAGCAGUGGGGAAUAUUGGACAAUGGGCGCAAGCCUGAUCCAGCCAUGCCGCGUGAGUGAUGAAGGCCCUAGGGUUGUAAAGCUCUUUUGUGCGGGAAGAUAAUGACGGUACCGCAAGAAUAAGCCCCGGCUAACUUCGUGCCAGCAGCCGCAGU
rnacentral:rRNA from 1 species